GAUGAAGAACGCAGCGAAAUGCGAUAAGUAAUGUGAAUUGCAGAAUUCAGUGAAUCAUCGAAUCUUUGAACGCACCUUGCGCUCCUUGGUAUUCCGAGGAGCAUGCCUGUUUGAGUGUCAUUAAAUUCUCAACCUUUAUCUUUUAUUGAUAAAUGGCUUGGACUUGGGGGUUUGCUGGCGAAAGUCAGCUCCUCUGAAAUGUAUUAGCUGGUUGCCUUGUGUGAACUUGUCUAUUGGUGUGAUAAUUAUCUACGCCGUGGGCUGUUUGCCGUUUUAGCACUGCUUCUAACUGUCUGUUAACUCGGACAAUAUAUGACAAUUUGACCUCAAAUCAGGUAGGACUACCCGCUGAACUUAAGCAUAUCAAUAAGCGGAGGA
rnacentral:misc_RNA from 1 species